UGCAGUCGAGCGGUAGCACAGAGAGCUUGCUCUCGGGUGACGAGCGGCGGACGGGUGAGUAAUGUCUGGGAAACUGCCUGAUGGAGGGGGAUAACUACUGGAAACGGUAGCUAAUACCGCAUAACGUCGCAAGACCAAAGUGGGGGACCUUCGGGCCUCAUGCCAUCAGAUGUGCCCAGAUGGGAUUAGCUAGUAGGUGGGGUAACGGCUCACCUAGGCGACGAUCCCUAGCUGGUCUGAGAGGAUGACCAGCCACACUGGAACUGAGACACGGUCCAGACUCCUACGGGAGGCAGCAGUGGGGAAUAUUGCACAAUGGGCGCAAGCCUGAUGCAGCCAUGCCGCGUGUGUGAAGAAGGCCUUCGGGUUGUAAAGCACUUUCAGCGGGGAGGAAGGCGAUAAGGUUAAUAACCUUGUCGAUUGACGUUACCCGCAGAAGAAGCACCGGCUAACUCCGUGCCAGCAGCCGCGGUAAUACGGAGGGUGCAAGCGUUAAUCGGAAUUACUGGGCGUAAAGCGCACGCAGGCGGUCUGUCAAGUCGGAUGUGAAAUCCCCGGGCUCAACCUGGGAACUGCAUUCGAAACUGGCAGGCUAGAGUCUUGUAGAGGGGGGUAGAAUUCCAGGUGUAGCGGUGAAAUGCGUAGAGAUCUGGAGGAAUACCGGUGGCGAAGGCGGCCCCCUGGACAAAGACUGACGCUCAGGUGCGAAAGCGUGGGGAGCAAACAGGAUUAGAUACCCUGGUAGUCCACGCCGUAAACGAUGUCGAUUUGGAGGUUGUGCCCUUGAGGCGUGGCUUCCGGAGCUAACGCGUUAAAUCGACCGCCUGGGGAGUACGGCCGCAAGGUUAAAACUCAAAUGAAUUGACGGGGGCCCGCACAAGCGGUGGAGCAUGUGGUUUAAUUCGAUGCAACGCGAAGAACCUUACCUGGUCUUGACAUCCACAGAACUUAGCAGAGAUGCUUUGGUGCCUUCGGGAACUGUGAGACAGGUGCUGCAUGGCUGUCGUCAGCUCGUGUUGUGAAAUGUUGGGUUAAGUCCCGCAACGAGCGCAACCCUUAUCCUUUGUUGCCAGCGGUUAGGCCGGGAACUCAAAGGAGACUGCCAGUGAUAAACUGGAGGAAGGUGGGGAUGACGUCAAGUCAUCAUGGCCCUUACGACCAGGGCUACACACGUGCUACAAUGGCAUAUACAAAGAGAAGCGACCUCGCGAGAGCAAGCGGACCUCAUAAAGUAUGUCGUAGUCCGGAUUGGAGUCUGCAACUCGACUCCAUGAAGUCGGAAUCGCUAGUAAUCGUAGAUCAGAAUGCUACGGUGAAUACGUUCCCGGGCCUUGUACACACCGCCCGUCACACCAUGGGAGUGGGUUGCAAAAGAAGUAGGUAGCUUAACCUUCGGGAGGGCGCU
rnacentral:rRNA from 1 species